rnacentral:pre_miRNA from 1 species
AGCCCCCUGUAUUCGUGCUGAGAUUUCAUCAGAGAUCGACCCGUUGGGGCUGGUGGUACUCCCCUAAUAAGUGAAGCG